rnacentral:misc_RNA from 1 species
GAAAUGCGAUAAGUAAUGUGAAUUGCAGAAUUCAGUGAAUCAUCGAAUCUUUGAACGCACAUUGCGCCCGCCAGUAUUCUGGCGGGCAUGCCUGUCCGAGCGUCAUUUCAACCAUCAAGCCCCCGGGCUUGAGUUGGGGACCUGCGGCUGCCCGCAGGCCCUGAAAACCAGUGGCGGGCUCGCUGUCACACCGAGCGUAGUAGCAAUCACCUCGCUCAGGGCGUGCUGCGGGUUCCUGCCGUUAAACAGCCUUACAAAACCCAAGGUUGACCUCGGAUCAGGUAGGAAGACCCGCUGAACUUAAGC